CCCAGUGGCCUAUUUCCACCCGAGAACCCGACACGAAGACCUCCACGUCCGAGCAGUCCGGAGUGAGAAUGACACCGAACCUGAACAACAUGACCUCAGUGUGUAAACACGCGUCGUGUUGCUGCCAUCAUGUGUCUUAAGGGAGGUUCUGCACACAGAAAUCUGGAGACAACGAAAGAAAGAGCAGCAUCACAGAAUGGACGGACUGUGAAGAGGAUUUUAGAUCCCAGCAGGCCAAAUGUUAAUGUUGGUAUCCUUUCUGUAGAACUGUAAAUUUGUUACCUCAUACUGUGAUUUCAGUGACCUGUUCUAAUUUACUUUGUAACCGAUUACGAUCUUAUUUUCUAUUUUUUCUUCUUCAGUCCAAUUCUUGAAGUUUUGUCUCUCCGUCAUUGUUCCCAUAAGGACUUCCACACAGCUCUAGUCACAUUUUCACAUUCACACAUAUGAGAAUGCUUGAAAAAAGUUCUUGGCCUCACCCAGACACAUGGUGCAUAACUCCUUUUUGGGGCAUAACUGUACAACAAAAAAUCCUUAAAUCACUGUCCACAAGAACUCGAAUGUUUAUAGCAAUCAAAGGAAAAGGAGAGAAAAGCUUUGAUCUGGGGUGAUGUUGCUCCAGGACAAUUCACAGGUGGCAGAAAGAGCCAAAUGUUGCUUCAAACUGUUGCCCCAUUACCAUCUAACUUCUGUUUCCCAAACUGAAAUCCAACUUGUGUAGUCGCCAUUUUCUGAGGGAUGAUGAUGUCAUUGAUGCUGUUGAGGAGAAUCUGGAGAUUCAAGAUGUCACCGUCUUCCUACUACGCUGAAAAAUAAUGAAAGAACAAUCAUUCUCCUGUGAUGUUUUCCGGUGAGGCUGAGAACCUUUAGAAGUUCCCUAUGUAUUCUUUUACUUUUUUAAACUGUUCCCUGAACUUUGAAUCUUUCUGAUGUAGUCUGUAUGAAAUUUGACAUGGCAUGUCGUGGCUGUCUCAGUGUUAAAAUCAUGGCUCCAAAUUCAGUGUAGUGGUUAGCACUGUCGCCUCACAGCUCGAAGGCCCUCUUGGGGUCUUUCUGUGUGAAGUUGGCAUGUUCUCCCUGUGCCUGUGUUGGUUUUCACUCCUCCAGCUUCCUCACACAGUCCAAAUACAUGCUUAUGUAAAUCGGUGAUUGUAAGUUGGCCAUAGGGGUGUGAUUGUGCUUGGUUGUUUGCUGUGAUGAACCGUCUUUUACCCAGCCAGCUUUGAUAGGCUCACCUCCUCACCCUCCGCUGCAUAAAGUAGGAAUAGAUAAUGGAUGGAUGGAUGGCUCAUUCAGACUCUGCUUGCCUGAAGAGUGACACAGUCAAUUUAGCUAUUACUUUGGUCCAAAGAUCGUCUAUAGCUGAUUAUUAAAAAAAAAAAAAGAAAACGCACAAAA